rnacentral:rRNA from 1 species
GAUCCCAUCAGAACUCCGAAGUUAAGCGUGCUGUGGCGAGAGUAGUACUAGGAUGGGUGACCCCCUGGGAAGUCCUCGUGUUGCACCC